rnacentral:lncRNA from 1 species
UACAAGAAAACUUCAUACAUUUUUUACGUUCCAAUAUAAAUCUUAAAAAGUUAUUCCAAUCAAAUAUCAUAAAAGAUCUUCUUAGUCCAACCUUAAAUAACUUUUAUGAAUGAAUCUUUAUCUUGCCACUAAAUAAUGAAUUUUAAAAUCAAGAGCAACAUCACAGCAUUCUGUCAUGUCAAAUUUGUGUUAGAUGUAUGUCCUAGAAAUCAAUUAGAUUGACAAUGUAAAUUUUUUAAGGAUAUAAUUUAUAUAUUUUGAUUUAUUAAUAAAAUAAAAUUUAAAUUAAUUUUUAUUCAUAUUUUUUUAUCUAUGAAUCAUCUAAAGAAUUAAUAAGAUGAUGAUACAUAUUCUUAAGAGUUCAAAAUUUGAAAUAUAUGUCAUUGAUGAUUAAUUUCUGAAUACUUUUGAAUUCUUAAGAGUUUAGAAGAUCUUGACCCAAGUAGUGUGAAUAGUGAAAAAAAGUUUUCACAUACUUCACAUCAAAAAUUUAAGUUGAAUAAAUUGUACAUAUGACAGGUAUUAUAGUUUGACGAGUAAUCUAUAACCUCUAUCUUAUCAAAAUUCUGAUAGAAAGAUUGUAUUGUAUGAUAACUGUACUUAGAGGUUCACCUUUUAUUUUACUGGAUUACCACUACAUGUUGCUAGAUGUCACUGGUGGAUUGUGAGAUCUACGAAGAUUAUCUUGAUGAUCGAUAAUUCUCAUUGAAAAGAUUGAAACUAUUUUAAUGAUGUUGUGAUAGAGAUCAUAAUAUAUCUUAUUAUCAGACAGAAUAGAAUUCUAUGGGAUCAUACACAAUAGGAGAUUAAGACUGAUCAAAUAGUUGAAUGAUGAUUAAGAAUCAUUACGGAGUUCAGAUUAUCAAUAUAAUUGAUAAUUAGACUAACUUAUAAUUGUUACAAGUAGCAAGGACUUAACUGCUAAAGGUUAAUAGGUUCAAAAAGAACUUAUGUAUAAAUGUUGUGCAUCUUAAUUUGAUUGGAUCAAAUUAGUUAUGGCUGAAUUCAAGAUGAAUCAAAUAGGAAUUUGGUUCAAUUGAAUUUGGGUCAAGCUUUAGGCUUAGGUCACAUAUACCCAAAAUCAUUUGGAUGCAUCAGGUGUGUGACACCUGAAUCAGGCCUUUCUAAACUAUUUUGAGUAAGUUUGAUCAAGUCAAAAGGAUCCACACCCUAAGGUUUCUUGAAUAAAACCUUAGGCACCACAUUGAGGACCUAUAGGAAACUUUGACCCUCUCUCAUAUGGGGUGGCACACUGAGGUUUUAUAAAAACCUUAGGCACCCAUUUUAGCCAUAAAAAAAAAGCUCCAAGGGAUGGGGCAGUAGCCAUGAAGAAUCCUUGGCUGUCAGGACUCUAUUCAAAAGAGUUCUCAAGGUUUUGGACUCUUAUGGAGCCCUAGGAUUUGUUUGCCUAUAAAUAGAUGGCCACCCCAAGGCUUUAGAUAAUGUUAGAGACUUGUGAAGCUCUCCCCUUUCUCUUGGUUGCCGGCCCACCCUCUCUCCUCUCUCUUCCAUGCCCCAAGACUUCUUUCUUGUCUCCAUCAUCUUGCUGAAAUUUAGAUUUCAGCAAGAAAAGUCAAGUAGAAGUCAAAGUUCUAAUGUAGCUCACAAGAUGUUGAGAACUUCCUCCAUCUGGCAAAGGUUCUGCAAGAGAGCUAGCAUCCUGAGAAACAAAAAGAUUGCUGAUCAGCCCUCAUCUCCAUAUGGAUAUUUGUAGAGAUCAAAUGCAUGCAUAGCUAGAAGAGAAUCUUAUCACGAUCAUCACUCGUGAAGAUCAUCUACCUGUGCAAAGGUAUGAGAUAAGAAAAAUAUUUUUUUUAUCAUAAUUCAUGAAUCCUUUGCUUAUAUUAUACUGAGAUUCUUGGAAUGGAUUUUUUCUCUAGUAAAACUCUAGAGAUCAGAUCUCAAAGUCUUCUUCACAUAAAGGUUUUGAAAGUUCUUUAUAUUUCCGCUGCUUUGAUUCAAAAUAAAUUAGAUCUAUUUUGCCUUUCAACCUUUCUCAUAUUUAUUGACAUAUAAAGCUUUAAUUAAUGAGAUUAAUGAAAAGCAUGUGCGAAAUACUGAGAAAAUCCUAACAGUGAUAUCAGAGCUACUUUUGUACAUAAGAAAAGGAUUCAAGUUAAAUAAAAUAUGUUUGAUUUAAGUAAAUGAAUCAAUCAAAAUUUAUCCUAACAUAAGUUUGUCCUGGUAUAAUGGUCAAGACCAUUAUGUUGAAAGGUUAUCCUAGGACAAAAAGUCUAAGUAAAAUCUAUUUUAUUUAAGUAAAUGAAUCAAUUAAAGUUUAUUCUAAUAUAAGAUUGCCUUAGCAUAAUGGUGAAGACCCUUAUGUUGAAAGGUUGUCCUAGGAUGGAAAGUGAUUGAUGAGACAAAUAUAUCAUGAAAGUAUUUUUCACAGAUGGAAUAAAAUAUAUAUAUUUUGUUUGUGAAAAUGAGAUUUCAUGAAUGUGUUUGUCAUUCAAUAUGUGUGGUGAUCAUCUUGAAUUGCCACAAAUCCUUUUUGGAUUAGGGUUGUAUCAUGACUCACAAAUCCUGAUGGUUUGCAAAAUUUUGCAUUCUGUAGUGAUAGAAACCAAAAGUUAAUCCAAUUUUGGAAUAAGAUUGAUCAAUUGGUAUCUAAGGCAAGUAUUUUAUAAUGGUGGUUACUUAAUUAGUUAUAAAAGUACGAAGAGUCUCCUACCAAUCUUACACUUAUCUAGCCAAUUUGGUUGAUUGAAUUCUGAAUUUGGGUUGCUUAAGUGUUAAGUUCACUACAAAUAUAUUGCAACCAUGAUUCCGACUUAGUCAACCAAGCCUAGAUCUCUUGAAUAGAUUCAUGUUAAUUAUGGAUUUACAUAGGAUAUAAAUAAAUAAUUAAAACUUGAAGAGAUCUAAAUGAAACCUUCUCGUACAUAUUAAAUCGAAUGAUCUUCCAUCAUUGUAGAUAUACGGAUACUCUACUGAUGUUGAUGAUUUUCGACUAGAUAUAGUACUUUGGUUGCAUCGAAAAAGUACAACCACUUUAUAACAUGAGAUGUUGCAGGGUAGAGAUGGGGUUGGGCCCAAUAAUUGUUAGGUGAGGAUCCAAAUGAUGGCUGCACUUGCGUGUGAAUGGCGAGUCUGACUUAAUUAAGAAAUAGAGCUAAUAACUAUUAGAUGAGGCUUCAGGACUUAGAGACUUAUGACCACUACAACUUACUUGAGAAGCAAUGGAUAAAGAGUCGUCUAUUUAUCAACUGACGCAUCACCAAUAACUAUCAGAUGGAGUGAUGUAUAAUUAGUGGGACUAUAGUAUCCACUUGAAAUCUUAAUCGUAAAAAUUUUUGUUUCUCCACCUGAAGAGCAUGGGAGAUUCGAAAAAAUAGUGGGGGUAGUUUAUUUUUAAAAUAAAGCUCCUAAAAUAAACUAAAAUAAGUUAAAUACAAAGUCUAACUAGAAUCUUCUUCUCUCUGUAGAAAAUAUCUGCUUCCAACCUCUAUUUCAUAUCCUUAAGACUAAUUGUUUGACUAGACCCAGUUAUAAAGAUUGACUCUAAAACUUAAAGAUAGUCUUGAGUUUUGAAAAGAUGAGCUAUGUCCUGGAUCAAGAUAUCCUCUCUCUACCAGCUUGUCCCACCCCUAAUCAAGGGGCAUCCUAUGAAAAGUGGUUAAACGAUGAUAACAAGGCUUGGUGCUGUGUGCUGACAUCUAUGUCCAUUGAACUCCAAUGCCAGCAUAAGGGUACAAACUGUCCAAGGUAUAUUGACUCAUCUACAAGAGUUAUAUAGUGAGUAGAGCCAUGUAUCUCACUAGGAAGUAUUUAAGAGACUCUUCAAGAUGAAGAAGUAUGAUGGAUAGUCUGUUAAUGAUCAUUGUCUGAUAAUGAUCAAGAACUUGAAAGAACUUGAGAAGCUCGAUAUGUCUAUCAAUAAGAAAUUGUAGAUUGAUUUGAUCCUACAAUUCCUUACUGAUUCAUAUGUGUAGUUUAUUAUAAACUACCAUAUGAAUAAAAUACAGUGCACCAAGGUUGAGUUGUUAAAUAUACUGAUAACUACUGAAGGGACCUCGAAGAGUUCAAGAGGCACUGUUCUUAUUAUGGAGCAGACCUCAUCUUUCAAGAAAAAGUCUACUGAAAAGAAGAAAAAGUUUGUGAAGAAGCAGAAGUUAGAGAAUAGGCCAAAGAAAGAAGUUUUCAAGAAGAAGGCCACAAAAAAGGAAAAGUAUUUUCACUGCAACUCUGAUGACCAUUGGAAGAGAAACUAUUCUGAUUAUGUGGCAAGCUUGAAGAACAAAAAAGAUAGCAUACCUUCUGAAGAUAUGUCUGAUCUUCUCGUUAUUGAAACUAAUCUUACAAUUUCUUUUACUUUCAGUUAGGUUAUAGACUCUAGCUCUAGUGCUCAUCUAUGCACUUCUAUACAGGAUCUGGAGGAAAGUAGAAGGCUGAGGAAAGAAGAAAUAAUCCAACAAGUUGAAAAUGAUGCAAGAGUUGUUACUAUGGCUGUGGAGAUCUAUCCUCUACGACUACCAUCUGAUCUUAGUUUAAUUCUUAGAGACUGUUAUUUUAUACCUACUGCUAGCAAAAAAUUGAUCUCUAUUUCAUCUCUAGCAUAGGAUAAUUAUGUAUUAAAUUUUAAUAAAGAUUAUUAUACCAUUUAUUUGAAAAAUAAAAUGGUUGGACGUAGUUUUUUAAUUGACAGUCUCUAUCAUUUACAUGUUGAUGUAUCUAUGAAUGUAACCAAGCAGAAAGUGAAUGCCAUAGGAUCUAAAAGAUCUAAAGAUGAAAUAAAUUAUAUGUGGCACAUUAGGCUAGAUCAUAUAAGAGAAGAAAGGAUUAACAGAUUGGAGAAAGAUGGGCUCUUGGGCUUAUUGACUACUGAGUUAUAUCCGAUCUGUGAAUUCUGCCUUCAAGAAAAAAUGAUCAAGCUGCCCUUUAUGAAACAAGGAGAAAAGACCAUUAAGAUAUUUGCCCUGGUACAUAUUGAUAUAUGUGGCCCAUUAAUUCGAUGCGCUGGUCAAAGAAGGUUGUCUCUAUUUCAUCAUCUUUAUCGAUAAUUAUUCACAGUAUGGAUAUGUGUAUCUUAUGAGAUACAAAUAUGAAGUCUUUGAAAAAUUUAAAAAAUUUAGAAAUGAAGUAAAAAAAUAAACUAAAAUUUUUUUAAAGAUUUUUCAAUCAGAUUGAAAAGUUGAAUACCUUAGUGGAGAAUUUCUAAAUUAUCUCAAAAAAAAUAGCAUAGUCUUAUAAUGGACUCCAUUUGGAAUGUCUUAACUCAAUAGAGUUUCGAAAUAGAGAAAUCAAACUUUAUUAGAUAUGGUUCGGUCCAUGAUUAGUUUCAUUGACCUUCUCUUAUUUCUUUGGAGAUAUAGUUUACUUACCACUAAUUAUCUAUUGAAUAGGGUUUCCUCUAAAAUCAUUUCUACCACAUUGUAUGAGAUAUGGUAUUGUAGAAAAUCAAGUCUUGAUCAUAUCAAGAUUUAAGGAUAUCCGACCCAUAUCAAAAUAUUUCAGACGGACAAGUUAGAGGUCAGAUCUAUGAAAGCUCGGUUCAAAAGUAUCUUAAGGAGUCUUUAGGAUAUUAUUUCUACUUUUCAGAGGAUCACAAUAUGAUUAUAAGCCAACAUGCUCUCUUCCUUAAAAAAUAGUUCAUGCAAGAUGGAAGUAGUAGGAGGCAGAUUGAGCUUGAAGAGAGUCUCUGAAGAGCAAUGAGUCUCAGAACUUACGUAAAACCUAUUUAAGUUGAGCCAAUACACACACCUCUUCCUCCAUCUCGUAGAUCCAGUAAAAUUUUUCAUUCUCCUGAGAGAUACUUAGGUAUCAUCAUAGAGAAUGUAGAGAAAAUAUUUCUCGUGAAAAAUGAGACAUAUGAAAAUGACCCCAAAACCUAUAGCGAGGCAAUAUCAAAUAUCGACUAUAAGAAAUGGUUAGAGGCUAUGAAGUUAGAAAUUAACUCAAUACACUUAAACCAAGUCUGAACCUUUAUGGAUCCGUCAGAAGGUAUGGUACCUAUUAUGUAUAAAUAGAUCUACAAAAGAAAGAUUGGUUUUGAUGGAAAGGUAGAGACCUUUAAGGUAAAGCCUGUGACUAAAGGUUAUAGCUGACACGAAAGCAUUGACUAUCAAUAUAUUUUUUCACUAGUAGUUAUGCUAAGUCCAUUUGAACAUUACUUGCGAUUGCAGCAUAUUAUGAUUAUAAGAUAUGACAGAUAGAUGUGAAAACUAUUUUUCUAAAUGAAUAUCUUUAGGAAGUUAUCUAUAUAGAGUAGACUUUGUGUUUCACUUCCAGUGAUGGCGAUCACAAAGUUUACAAAUUGUAAAGAUCUAUUUAUGCACUCAAACAAGCAUCUUGGAGCUGGAAUACUUAUUUCAAUGAUGUAAUCAAAUCAUUUAGUUUCAUCAAAAAUGAGAAAGAAUCGUGUGUGUUUAAGAAAAUCAGUGGGAGUACUGUUACUUUUCUUGUAUUGUACGUGGAUGACAUCCUCCUGAUCGAAAAUGAUAUUUUUAUGUUAAUUUUAGUCAAAAUAUAGUUGUCUAAGAAAUUCUCCAUGAAGGAUCUUGGGGAAGCAUCCUAUAUUUUGGAGAUAAAUGUCUAUAGUGAUAAAUCUAUGAGGAUGCCAGGCCUUUCACAGAAGAUGUACAUUAAGGAAGUGCUGAAGAAGUUCAGCAUGAAAAACUCCAAGUGGAGACUUCUAUCCUUCAGGUAUGGGAUUCAUCUCUCCAAGAAGGUGUGCCUCAACACAUCUUAAGAGAUACAGUACAUGAGCAAAAUCCCUUAUACUGCGGCUAUAGGAAGUCUCAUGUAUGUCAUGUUAUGUACAUGACCUGAUAUAGCUUAUGUUGUGAGUGUCACAAGUAGAUAUCAGUUGAAUGCAGGUGAAAAACACUGGACAUCUAUGAAAUGUAUCCUUAAGUACUUGAGAAGGAUUAAGGAUAUGUUCUUGAUCUUUAGAGGAGGAGAAUUAAGGGUGCAAGAAUAUACCGACUUAAAUUUUAUGUUUGAUAUUGAUGAUCGAAAAUUGACAUCAGAUUAUAUUUUUUUAUGCAACGGUGGUACUGUGAGUUAGAAAAGUUUCAAGUUGCCUAUCAUAGCAGACUCCAUUAUAGAAGAUGAGUUUAUAAUCACAUUGGAAGCUACCAAAGAGGCAUUCUGGUUUAAAAAAUUUAUUACAGAGCUGGAUAUAAUGCCAUCAGAUGUCAUACCACUCUACUGCGACAACAAUAGUGCCAUAACUCUAGCUAAGGAGCUGAGGUCUCACCAAAAGUCUAAGCACAUAGAGCAAUGAUUUAAUCUCAUUCGCAAUUAUCUCGAAAAAAAUAUAUCAAGGUAUAGAAAGUAGAUACUAUGGAUAAUAUGACAGACCCACUAACUAAGUAGCUGAGUCAAUAAAAAAUCGAAGUCCAUCUUGAGAAGAUGGGACUUAGAUUUGUGGCCAAUUGAUUUUAGUGCAAAUAGGAGAUUGUUAGAUGUAUACUCUAAAAGUCAAUUAGACUGACAAAUAUAAAUUUUCUAAGGACAUAAUUUAUAUAUUUUGACUUAUUAAUAAAAUAAAAUUUGGAUUAAUUUUUUAUUCAUAUUUUAGUAUCCAUGAAUUAUCCAAGAGAUUAAUAUGAUGAUGAUAUAUAUUCUCAAGAGUUGAAAAUUUGAAACAUACGUCAUUGAUGAUUAAUUUUUGAAUGCUUUCGAUUAAUGGAUGAUCAUAAGGAUAGUAAUUAAUCCGAUCAAUGUACAAAUCACUUCUUUUUUGAUAGACGAGUCUCGAGUCUAUACUAUGGAGACACUGGAGCAAGAGUGCAGGUAUUUGUUAGAGAACAAAGGUAUCGAGCGUGACUAAUACGAGAAGUCAAUUGGAUGGCUAUCCACUCGUUAAUGACUUAUUUGAUACUACAGUAGUAUGUCUAGUCCUUAUAUCUGCAAUGCCUCAGGUGUUCAUAAUGAGACUGUUAGAGUUUGACUGUACAUAAACUUGAUUUCUAGCCAUAUGGAUCUUUAUAGUGCAUGUUGGCUACAGUAGGUUCGUUGUAGGAAUAGGAUGUGCACAUAGAUAGAAUCUAUCAUCCUUGAUAGACAAAAAAAAUGAUCCUAUAUAAUUUAUGAGACUGAGUUCAAAAAAUCUUGACUAAGACAGUGUGAAUAAUGAAAAGAAGUUUCCACAUAUAUACUUCACAUCAGCAAUUCCAGUUAAAUAAAUCCUACAUAUAAUAGGUAUUGUAGUUUGAUGAAUAAUCUAUAACCUCCAUCUUAUUGAAACUCUGAUAGAAGGACUGUAUCAUAUGGUAACUGUAUCAAGAGAUUCAUCUACUAUUUUGCUGAAUUGUCACUACAAACUGCUAGAUGUCACUGAUAGAUUGUGGGACCUAUGAAGAUUAUCUUGAUGAUCGAUGAUUCUCAUGGAGAAGAUUGAAACUAUUUCAAUGAUGUUGUGGUAGAAAUCACAAUAUAUCUUACUACUAGAUAGAAUAGAACCUAUGAGGUCACACAUAAUAAAAAUUUGAGAUUGAUCAGAUUGUUGAAUGAUGAUUAAGAAUUGUUACAGGAUUCAGAUUAUCAAUAUAAUUGAUAAUUGGACUAACUUGUAAUUAUUAUAAGUAGCAAAGAUUUAAUUGCUAAAGGUUAGCAGAUUCAAGGAGGACUUAUGUGUAAAUAAUGUACAUCUUAAUUUGAUUGGAUCAACUUAGUUAUGGCUAAAUUUAAGAUGAAUCAAACAGGGAUUUAGUUUAAUCGAAUUUGGGUCAAGCUUUGGGCUUAGGUCACAUGCACUCAAAAGGGUUUGGAUACAUCAAGUGUGUGACACCCAAACCAAGCCUCCCUAAACUAUUUUGAGUUGGUUUUGACCAAGUCAAAAGGGUCCACACCCUAGGGUUUCUUGAAUAAAACCCUAGGUGCCACAUUGAGGACCAAUUAGGAAACUUUGACAUUCUUUCACACGGAGCAGCACACUAGGGUUUCAUGAAAACCCUAGGCACCCAUUUUAGCCAUAAAAGGAAAGCUCCAAGGGAUGGGAUGGUGCCAUGAAGAAUCCCUGGCCAUUGGGACUCCAUUCAAAAGUUCUCUAGGUUUUGGGCUCUUAUAGAGCCCUAGGGUUUGUUUGCCUAUAAAUAGGUCGCUACCCCAAGGCUUUAGAUAAUGCUAGAGGCUUGUGAAGCUCUCUCCUUUCUCUUGUUUGCCAUCCCACCUUCUCUCCUCUCUCCUCCAUGCCUCAAGACUUCUUUCUUCUCUCCAUCAUCUUGUUGAAAUUUAGAUUUCAAUGAGAAGGAUCAAGUAGAGUCAGAGUUCUACUGCAGUUCUCAAGGUGUUGAGAACUUUCUUCAUCAGGCAAAGAUUCUGCAAAGGAGUUAGCACCUCAAAGAACCAAGAAAGUUGCUAAUCUGCCCUCAUCUCCAUGUGGAUACUUAUAGAGGCCAAGCAUGACGAGAAGAGCCUUAUCACGAUCAUCACUCGUGGAGAUCAUCUACCCGCGCAAAGGUAUGAGAUAAGAAAAAAAUAUUUUUCUUAUCAUGAUUCAUGAAUCCUUUGCUUAUGUUACAUUGAGACUCUUGGAUUAGAUUUUUUCUCUAAUAAAAUUUCAAAGAUUAGAUCUCGAAGUCUUCUUCACCUAAAGGUAUUGAAAGUUCUUUAUAUUUUCGCUACUUUGAUUCAAAAUAGAUUAGAUUUGUUUUGCCUUUCAAUUUUUCUCAUAUUUAUUGAGAUAUGAAGCUUUAAUUAAUGAGAUUAAUAAAAAGCAUAUGUGAAAUACUGAGAACAUCCUAACAAUUUGAGCUUACAAUUCACUUAAACAACUAAUGAUCAAAUUAAUAAUCACAAUGCACAAUAAAAAUUCAUGAUAAAUCUUUUUGUUGUUACUUUAGAUCAAAAUCCAACUAAUCAUAACAUGAUCCACGGAUUGCCUAUCAUAUAUCAAACCCUCUGAAUUAUUAAUCUUAAACGAUCUUUUCAUUCAUGAUCAUAAGAUUUAGUUAAAAAUCAUGAAGACAACUUAUAUUGUAAUCAUCAUAGAUCUGUAUCUUAACAUCCUUAGUGUUUACCUACCUAUACUCAUCCUAUGUUUGAUUCUAUAUAUCAUAAUUUAUUCACUAAUACUUUGAUAUCAUAUAAAUUAUCGCAUCCCCAAUCUAAGAUCAUAUUGGUACUUUAAUAUUUCAUUAGUGGGGGUUAUGCAUUAGUACUUUGAUACCUUAUCAGUUGAAUGGUUAAACACUGGUACUUUGAUAUCCUAUCAGUGGAGGUUAUACGCUGGUACUUUAAUAUCCUAUCAGUAAGAUGGUUAAAUACUGAUACUUUGAUAACCUCCCAGUGGGUGUUGUAUGCUAGUACUUUAUUAUCCUACCAAUGGGGCAGUUAAAUGCUACUACUUUGAUACGCUACCAAUGGGAUAGUUAAACGCUAGUAAUCUAAUCUUAGCUUGACAUAAAGUAACGUCGACUCGAGUUUAGGGUCGACUCGAGAGAAUGUUAGGGUUAGCUUGAUAUGAAAGAGGGUCGCUCGUCAAUAUUUUGGAGUCAACUCUUGUUUAUGGACGAUCUAGAAAGUGUCAGAGUGAGCUCGAGUACUGCAUAUUUCUGAUACAUUGUCUAUGCUAGAAUGUGCUAGAACUGAUUAUCUUCUUUAUCAAAGUUGAUUUUUGAGUAACUUGAUGAUCAAUUUUUCUAGGCUAGACUUGCUUUGUCAAAAUGAGCACUUGUUAGUUUAGAGAAUCUUCACCUACACAUGAUCUCAAGCAUUCAUUAGUACCAAAAAUACUUAAGUAUUUUGAUAUCAUCAAAAUCAAUUCUUGGGUUAACACAAUACUUUUCAAAUAAUAAGCAUACAGAUAUAAUCCUAUAACAAUUUAAAUUUUGUUCAUAUAUCAAUUUCUUUAAAAAUAUUAUAUUCAUCUUGAUAGCUAUGAACUAAAUCAAAAUACAUACUAGUAUACAACUUUUACUGGGAGAGUAUUAGAUUACCAGCAUUUAACCAUCCCACUGGCAAGGUAUCAAAUUACCAAUACACAACCCCUAUUUAUAAAGUAUCAAAGUACCAGUGUUCAACUGCCUCACUGGCAGGAUAUCAUAGUACUAGUAUUUAACUACCACAUUGACAGGAUAUGGAAUUAUCAGUAUUUAACCAUCAUUAGUAGAAUUUUGAUGCAUAGUCAGGCUGCGAGUCAAAAUCUAUCUCAAAUCAAAAUAUUGAUCACAUGUCUAAUUCUGUAUCAUAAUUCAUUCCCUUAUGCUCUAAUAUUAUAUUAAUUGUCAUACUUCUAGCUCGAGAUCAUGAGCCAAGGAUUGCAGUAACUACCGCAUACUUAUAGAGAACUCUUUCUAUAAGCAUACAAGAUAUUCUAAAUAUACUAUCAAUAUAUCAUAGAGAAAUUAAUUUAAAUAACUAAAAGUUAAUAUUCAAUUAAUAAAUUCAACUGGCAAAUGUAUUUAAAAAUUUUACAUCAAAUAAAUCUUGAUUAAUAAAUAUUAAUUAAUAACAAUAGAUUUAAAUCGAAACAAGGUUGAUAUUGUUAGAAUUUGAUGCCUCAAGAUUCAGCCCACAUUGAGUCCACAGUGAGGUUCGCGACGAAAAAUGNNNNNNNNNNNNNNNNNNNNNNNNNNNNNNNNNNNNNNNNNNNNNNNNNNNNNNNNNNNNNNNNNNNNNNNNNNNNNNNNNNNNNNNNNNNNNNNNNNNNNNNNNNNNNNNNNNNNNNNNNNNNNNNNNNNNNNNNNNNNNNNNNNNNNNNNNNNNNNNNNNNNNNNNNNNNNNNNNNNNNNNNNNNNNNNNNNNNNNNNNNNNNNNNNNNNNNNNNNNNNNNNNNNNNNNNNNNNNNNNNNNNNNNNNNNNNNNNNNNNNNNNNNNNNNNNNNNNNNNNNNNNNNNNNNNNNNNNNNNNNNNNNNNNNNNNNNNNNNNNNNNNNNNNNNNNNNNNNNNNNNNNNNNNNNNNNNNNNNNNNNNNNNNNNNNNNNNNNNNNNNNNNNNNNNNNNNNNNNNNNNNNNNNNNNNNNNNNNNNNNNNNNNNNNNNNNNNNNNNNNNNNNNNNNNNNNNNNNNNNNNNNNNNNNNNNNNNNNNNNNNNNNNNNNNNNNNNNNNNNNNNNNNNNNNNNNNNNNNNNNNNNNNNNNNNNNNNNNNNNNNNNNNNNNNNNNNNNNNNNNNNNNNNNNNNNNNNNNNNNNNNNNNNNNNNNNNNNNNNNNNNNNNNNNNNNNNNNNNNNNNNNNNNNNNNNNNNNNNNNNNNNNNNNNNNNNNNNNNNNNNNNNNNNNNNNNNNNNNNNNNNNNNNNNNNNNNNNNNNNNNNNNNNNNNNNNNNNNNNNNNNNNNNNNNNNNNNNNNNNNNNNNNNNNNNNNNNNNNNNNNNNNNNNNNNNNNNNNNNNNNNNNNNNNNNNNNNNNNNNNNNNNNNNNNNNNNNNNNNNNNNNNNNNNNNNNNNNNNNNNNNNNNNNNNNNNNNNNNNNNNNNNNNNNNNNNNNNNNNNNNNNNNNNNNNNNNNNNNNNNNNNNNNNNNNNNNNNNNNNNNNNNNNNNNNNNNNAGAUAUUACUAAAUUUUGCUUCUAAUCUCACUCUUAAAUAGUACUUACCUUUGAAACUAGGCAUUUGAAUCUGAAAAAGAAAGAGGAGAUUAUGAGCUUGAUAGUUCAGUAAAUCAUGAAUAAAUUAGCUAAAUAAAUCUAUGAAUAAUAGUAUAUUAAAAAUAAAUAUGUAAGAUACAAUAAUUCAAAAAUGAAUUCAUAUAUAUAAUACUUUCCAAAUAAUAAGUAUGUGGCUGCAAUCCUUUCGUAAUUCAAAUUUUGUUCAUUAAUUAUUUUUUUCAAAACAUCACAUGGAUAGUCAUGAACUAAAUCAAAGUACCAGUGCAUAACCCCUAUUGAUAAAGAAUCAAAUAACAAGUGUUUGACUGCCUCAUUAUCAGGAUAUCAAAUUAUUAAUGCAUAACCUCCACUGCUAGGGUAUCAAAGUAGCAACCUCAAUCACCUCACUGGAAGGGCAUCUAGUUUCAGUAUUUAACUACUCCACUGGCAAGGUGUUAAAUUAUCAAUAUUUAACCUCCACUGAUAGGAUUUUGAUAUAUAGUCAGACUGCGAGCCAAAAUUCAUUUCAAACCAAAAUAUUUUUCUCAAAGACAUAUUUUAUGUUUCACAUUGAAAAAUUCACAAAAAUUAUGCGAUAUUGAAAUCAAUUGGAUAAAAUCCACGUCAAAUUUAGUAUAUUCAAUCAUAAAUCAUUUACUAUUCUAGAAAAGGUAUAUUAAAAGUAUAAUGCAUCAAUUUCAUAAAUCAUAAAUAUCUCAAUAUAAAAAAUAUUUUAUUAUUUAUUAAUAAAUCUAGGAGAAGUGAAGCAUUACUUAUCUUGUAAGUAAAACUAACCAACUGAUCAAAUUAAUUCUGAGAAUCUUUCUCAAAACUCAUCACCACUAUAUCAAAAACUUGUGCUUCUUGCUAUGUAAGAGCAUAGACCCUUUCUUCGAUCUGGGGUUCCAAGUUUCUAUUUUAUUUUGUUCAACUAUCAAAUUAGACUGACUUUUCAUUUUUUUGUGGAUAUUCAGCUAUUUUAUGGCCUUUCUAACAAUAACCAAAGUAUGUACCAAUAUUCCAACAAUAAUCAUUUAUUGCAUGAUUUUCACCGCAUCGAAAUAUUUGAUAUUAUCAAUCAAUCCAAACUUGUUAUUCACUGACCUCUUAUUCAAACCCUUAGUAUAUUUAAUAUUCUACCUUUGUGAUUCAUUCAAUCGAUUUCUUUUUUUUAUUUUCUUUCCCUUUCUAUAUGCUCUUCAUUAACUUUUCUUUCAAUUAUCAAUGCUUUAUUCAAUACAUCUGUAUAAGUAGUUAACUCAUAUAGUACCAUUUAUUUUCUAAUUUCUAUCCUCAAUUCCAACUCAAAUUUAUCUACUCAGUCACAUUCAUCUUCAACCAAUCUCGAAGCAAACUUGACAAGCUCCAUAAAUUUAGCUUCAUAUUCUACAACUAUUAUAUUUCUUUAUUUCAGAUAAAUAAAUUUUUAUUCUUUCUGAAUCCUCAUACUCUAAGAAAAAUAUUUUUAUCAUAAAAUAUCUUUUGAAAUCACUCCCAAGCGAGUUGUUCUCCAUCUUGUUCAUAUUUAGGUUUCAUUCUCUAUUAUCAAUUAAAUGUCUCAUCUUUCAACAUGUAUGAUGCAUAUAAGAUUUUUUCAUCAUCAUGGUAUCUCUUAACAAUAAAUGCUUUCUCCAUCUCCAUAAGCUAAUUUUUAGCUCCUAUUUCAUAGUUUUCUUAAAAGUCAAUGGAGACAACUUCUUAAAUUCUAUGAUAUUACUUUAUUGCUCCUAUUGCUCUUAUGUCCUUGUGGUGACAAUAUUUAUUGUUGCACUUGCUGUAGAGGCAGUUACUGUUACUGCAAUUGCUAUUACGAUUCCAUCAAGCCGACUAGUGUCUGCAUUAUUUGGAUAAUAGUUGAUUUUUGCUACUUUAUUUAGAUGUUGGUGGCAAAAUCAAUGACUUCUUUUUGCUGAGAGAUGCCACCAACCUACUAAGUAUCAUCAUCUUAUUGGUUGAUACCUUUAGCAGCACCUCGAGUGGUUCUUUUUAUCUGAUAUGGAACCAUCUUAAUCUUGCAUGAAAAACAAACUUCGCAAAAUUUUCUUUUAAAAUCUAAUAUCUAAUAUUAUACUUUUAUUAAAAUUUAAUUAUGAUUAUUUUAAGAAUAAAAAAUUUAAAUUUUGAAAUCCUCACAAGGCUGGCCAAGAGAUAAUGACCAUCAUCCUAGUCGGUUUGACGUAGGACAUCCAAAGAUCAACUAUAAUUCAAGCAUCAUAUUGAGAUGCUAGGAUAUAAUCGAUGGUGAAAUUUAAUGAUGCUCGACUGAUCAAGAUGGGGGCCGGCCCGAUGGCCUGUUCAACAAUCAUUGAUCAAAAUUUUUUAACCAAGGUCUAUCAAGAUCAUUAAAAAGUCUUUCUAAGAUCUAUAAAUUGUAAUAAAGAGACACAAUCUAGAGAGAGACACUUUUUACAUAAAGAAAGUAGAAAUUUUAGGGAGAGAAAUUAGAGAGAAAGGGGAAAGAGAGAGGAAGCUGAGAGGAAGAAAGAAAAGAGAAAGACUCUCUCUCUUUUUCUUUUCUUUCUUUUCUUUCUUUUCUUUUUCUUUUCUUUUUUUCUUCCUUUUCUUUCUUUCUUUCUUUGGCUCAUUAGAAAAAUAGGGGACCUAUUGAUCCCCUUGUUUCCUAAAUAGGGGAGGAAUCUCAUCUUGGUAGCUAUGGCCGGCGAUGUGAGCCAAAGUGGCAAAAUCAUGAAUCUCCCAACUUGCAGCCGACAUUGACUUUUGGCACUGGAAAAUCAAAGAAAUUUGACAAAAAAUGGGAAAAAAUUGAAACCAAAAUAGGGACCAAAAUCCGGUAAUAGCUAGCCAAAAAUCCUUGAUCUUUGCUCAUGGAGGAUAGGAAAAAAGAUUAUUCAAGAGAUUAAGGGAAUCUUAUCUCAUUUUUUUGCUGUGCUUCGGCCAUGGUGGUUGCAGAAAUCGUUUGUGAAAGCUCGACAAACUCUGCAAUUUCCUCGGGCUUGGGCCUCGAUCUUUAAUAGGAGAAGAGAGAAGUCCUCUUUCUUUUAAAUAGAGUCGGAGGGAAGGAGUUUGAUUUCCUCCUUAUGGUGGUUUCAAACUCUGAUCGGAAGUCCAUUGGAAAAGAAGACUCCCAUUAGUUUUAAAAUCUAAUAAGAUUUAUUGAUUAGAAAAUUGAUAAAAAAUGAUUAUUAAAAAAGUAGCAUAAUUAUUUAAAUCAAUGAUGCUUAGAUUGUUGGAGGUAAAUAGUAAUAAAAUCAAAAAAUUAAAAUUCAUGGGACCAAAAAAUAAUGAACAAGAUUUGAAAGAAAUGUCUAUAAAUAAGAAUUUAUGAAACAGGGGAACAUUGAUCAAAGGUGUGUUAAAUAGUGUCCUUAAAGUGUUAUUGUCCCUCUCACGUAGACUUUGUGUGUUGGGAGAGAACAUAGUAAUUCUCUCAACCUAUGCAACCUAAAUCUUUUGAAAAGAAAUUUAAAAUUAUAGAAAAAUUGGCAAACUAGAAUUUUGGUCAUUUUCUUUAUUAGUAAAAAAUAUACUAAGUUAUAUGUCUUUAUUUAUACUAGUGAGGUCUAUCUUUGCACAAUUCAGACCAAAUUUAUAUUCUAGUUAAAAGAGGUAUAGAUUUUUUAAAAUAGAUAUAACUAGUGGAAAUAGUCAUAGAAAAGUUAAAAAUCAAUGAAAGGUAGAUUUCACUUCUAUAUUGGCUUUAUUUGUGGUCACUUUAUCUAAUUCUUUUUUUUGAUGGAGCAAUAUACCCUGUUAAAAUCUUCUCGAUUUUUUUUUCACUUUAAGCAACCUAUUUCGAUGCCUAAACAAUGGAAUUUAGUUUAACCACUUAAUAUGCUACACUUUUAAAAGGAGCACCAUAUUGUAGGGCUUGAAAAGUUACUUGAUUUAAAAAAAGAGCAUCUUAAUUGGACAUCAUACAAGUAAGUUAUGACCUCUGAAAAUUUGAUACAUGAUUUAUCAUCUUGAUAUGGUAAAUCUUGUUAAGAUUUCCUCAUGGUGUCUAAAGUGGCCGGUUCAUACUGAGUUUGGUGAUUCUUCUGGUCAAUGGUUAAUUGCUCGAAUAUUUUUAAGAUAUAACUAAUCUCCAACUCUGCCGACUCCUUAGUAGUAUGAGCACAUGGAAAGCUUGACCUAAUUGAUUUCUUAAAUUGCUUGAAAUCAGUACUUAGAAAAUAUGCAAAAUGGAUGAAAUGUUUAUUGCAGCGAGAGCUUUCUGAUCUGUACGACCGAGAGCUUACUAGUUUUUUAUGAGCUAUACGUUUUGCACUUAAGCCUAAUUUAAAUAGUGAAAUAGUUUUGCAACAAUUCAAAACAAUUAAAAUCAAAAGACAAGCUGCUAUGCAUGUUCAACUGACUCGGCUUUCAAUCGCAAUAUGUCACAUAGGCUGGCCUAGAAUGCAGAUGCGUGCGUGGUGAGCAUCCUAAAAACCUACAUAUCCAAUAAAUUCCCACUAGUUGGUGAAGUAUUAAAUGUAACUCGUAUUAACUUUUUAAUGUAGGACUAAAGUUUAUUCGACUAAUUAAGAACUAAAUACUUUAAUAAUUGAACUUUUCCAACCAGAAAUCAGAAAAUAUUUAAGUAAUUAAAUAUUACAUAAUAACUAGAUCAAAAUAUCAUGGUUCCUCUCUCGCUCGAGAUCAAUUGGGAUGUUGGUUUAUCUUGGUCAUCCAUCGAGAUGACUCUAUCUUAGCCUUUCAAAACGGCGCGGUACCACGGGUCUCACCGCUUCGUUACAUCGAAUGCCACCAUCCCUUUUUUUUUUUUUUUUAUUUAUUUAUGCUUUCUUGCUCCUAGAUUGGUGCGGCCUCAUUACAACUCCACUGCUACUUGAUGCUUCCCUCUAGCAUCUCCUUUGCAGCUCUCUCACUUCCACCACUCUUCGGCCUAAUGUUGGGAAACGACGAAGGGGCCUUACAAAAAUGUCAUCCAUGAUGGCAGUGGAGAAGAAAACAUCGCUGGGGCUUUCCUUCGAUAUCCUUCGCAGCCAAAGCUCUUAUAGGGUUAUAUGGGAGAACGCUGCAUUAUUUGGGUGAUCUUUUUGGAUGGUGUUGUUGACUGAUGCUAGUUUUGCUUCAUGAAUUGAAUAUUUACACAAGAUGAGAAUACAAUCUAGUACAAUUGGUACCAAUUACCUGGGUUUGACUCCUGCUCGCAUCUGAUUGAAGCUUGGUUAAUGUGCAUCUCAAUUAAUUCAGAAAGAUCAUCGGACUUCAUGUGAAUUAUUUUGACUAGCAUGAAUAGGGCUAAAUAAGGCUGAAAUAUGUGUUAAAUUUUUAAAAUUAUAACUUGAUCAUAUGAUGUCCAAUUGAGAUGUUUUCAAAUCAAAAAUUUUUUUCGAGAUUUAUCACUUAAUGUUAAACUCUUAGAAGGUCGAAACAGACUGAAAGUUUUCUUUUCAAGAUGUAUUUUGACCGAGUAUAUAACUUGAUGAUCAUAUGAUGCCCAAUUGAGAUGUUUUCAAAUGAAAAUUUUUUUUGAGAUUUAUGACUUAAUGUUAAACUCUUAAAAGGUCGAAACAGACUGAAAGUUUUCUUUUCAAGAUGUAUUUUGACCAAAUAUAUCUCAUAAUCUAUAAAGAAUAUAUUUCAUAAUCUAUGAAUAAUUAGAUAGAGCGACAGAAGAUAAUGCUAAUGUAAAAAUCACGAUCUAUUUUUUAUAAAAUUUAAUAUUUUUAUAUAAUCACUUUUACUAUAGUCAUAUUUAUUUUAAAAAAUUUAGUUAUAUUUAAAAUAUCAAAAAAAUUUGACUUGAAUUAUAUAAGAAAGGAUCUUCCUACUAUUAUAGAUAGAAGCUUUAUAUCAUAGUUUACAGUGUAUGGAUCAUCAAUGAAAGAAAGAGGGAUGUAAACCUUACUUUUGAAAUUUUUCUAUUUGUUUCUAAAUUUUUUAAAGGAUCCAAGUUGAGAAUUGAGAGAAUUCUUUCUUUCUGCAAAUCAAAUCAUUAGUAUAAUCCACAUGGAGACGUUGUAAUAGAAAGUAGAAACUAUAUUUUAUGAAUAAUAGAAAGGGAGUUGAUUUACGCCAAGCCUUUUGUUUGCUUGAUUAAUUAUUUAUUUUUAUGGUGUUAGCUGGACCCCAUGAAUAGCAACCAUCGUUGGGUCAGGGUCGUGUAUUUGUUUUGGGGUCUUCAUUAAUAUACACGGUGGUAAAUUGUUGGGGGCGCGUCAGAUGGAACCAAUCCUGGUUCCUUACGGUACUGUAGUGCUCUAUAUGUGGACGGCUGUCAUUCUAUCCGUGAAAUAAGAGGUGUUGUUUUUCUUUAAAAAGCAGCACUCUCCUCAGCAAAAACCUCAGAAUCCACCAUGUAAUAUUACUCAUCCUUGGUCUUAAAGCUGUAGCAAUACAUUACUUCCAAAUGCCAAGCAAUUAAAUAAACUACAUACAUCGAACCUCUUUAGUACGUACGUCUUUUCAAAAAUAUUUUUUUCGAAGAUCCGACAAAUGUGAAAUGCUUAUUAACUUCUUUAAUGUCUGUUUUUGCUUGCAUAUUUACACAGACAUACCAUCAACUCCAUCAGUUGUUGUUUGAUAAUUCGCUUGCCGAGCAGAGAAGAGAGAGAGCAAGAGAGAAAGGAGGCAUAGAGAGCGUGAGAUGGGAAAAGCGACCGAUUCUUAAACUGGCGAGACAUCACACGUUACCCGGUACACCCAAAGCUUUCACGAAUUUGGAAAGUGAAGCCAUUAUGGAAGCGCUAGCUUUUUGCUCUCCCUUGCCGGAAUGGAAAGGCCCCCGACCUUCUUUACCCCUUUCUCCACGCCACCCACCCACCACUCUUCUAUACACCUUUAUAGCUCCCUUCUCCUUUGGCUUUCUUUUAAGCAGAGCUCAGAGGAAAAGAGACCUUCCUGGGUGCUUGAGAAAUAGAGAAGAGAGAAAAGAGAGUUGGAGAUGGGGAGGGGGAAGAUAGAGAUCAAGAAGAUAGAGAAUCCUACAACAGGCAGGUGACCUACUCCAAGAGGAGGACGGGGAUCAUGAAGAAGGCUAAGGAGCUGACGGUGCUUUGCGAUGCUGAGGUCUCGCUUAUCAUGUUCUCCAGCACCGGCAAGUUCUCCGAGUAUUGCAGCCCCCUUUCCGAGUGUGUACACGAUAUUAUCCCUCCUCGUCCCCUUUUUUUUUUCUUUUUGAUAAAAAUGAAACUCAUAUAGUCUUCUUUUAUGAUUAUGUGUUUGUAAUGAUGGAUGAUUGAUGGCUGGAUGGCAGCACCAAGACCAUAUUUGAUCGCUACCAGCAGGUGUCAGGGAUCAACCUGUGGAGCGCCCAAUACGAGGCAGAAACUCUUCUUCUUCUUCUCCUCUCUCUCUACAAAUAUGCUUUCUUUCUAAUUUUUCUUUUCAAAGAAAAAAGAAAAAAAAAUGAUUUCUAAUAUUGAUGUAUUUUCUUGUGGGAGUAGAAAAUGCAAAACACUUUGAACCAUCUGAGGGAGAUCAACCAGAACCUCCGCAGAGAAAUAAGGUGGAGGGCCAAAAGAGAAUAUUGUAAUAUUAGUACUUUCUGGUAAAAAUAAGCAUGUAGUUUCUUUUUGCCUUUAAAUUUUGUUGUGCUGGUUCUGAUGAGCAGGCAGCGGAUGGGUGAAGAUCUCGACAGUUUGGGCAUCCAUGAACUGCGCGGUCUUGAGCAAAAUUUAGAUGAGGCUUUGAAGGUUGUUCGUCACAGAAAAGUAAGAUCCCCCAUUUAUUCACUGCACCUAUUUUAAUUCCUUAUUCUCCAUGUUUUGAGAGCUUUUGAGAUAAAUGAUGAGAAGCGCAUCGAGAUCGAGUUGUCUAUAUUCUGGAAUGAUUAAUUUUUUAAUUCUCAAUUAAUGCUGUUUCAUUGCUAAAUAUUCAGCCAUAUAUUUUGUCUCUGCAUGGGAUUUCUAUGCUAAAAUUCCUCAGAUUUCAGCAUACAGAAUCCUUGAGACUUGCCUUGGCUUUACCACAAGUACUCCAGAAUCAAAAUUGUGAAAGAAAAAUAGGAUAAAUCUGGUUAAGCUGUAAUUUAUUUACUUACUUUCUAUCUAUAUUAAAAUUAUUCAGAUUAUUUUGCAAAUUUAUGGAUAUGCUUGAAUCACGUAUCUGAUACUUUCUCUUCAUCUGGAUGGCAGUACCAUGUGAUCACCACGCAGACGGAUACCUACAAGAAAAAGGCAAGGCUAACAUGCUUUCUUACCAUCAUUCUUUACGGUCUUUGAUCCGGUUUUGCGUGUCCACUUCUUACGUAGUCUUUUUCAAACAUUCCUAUCUAAGACUGAAGGUAAUGAUUUGCAAAGGAAUAGCUUUACUGUUUUCCUCUAAGUAGAUGAAAUAUUACUCACGUAGAAAGGAGCCAUCAUAAUUGCAGAAAGAAUAAAACUGAAUGGAAUAUGAGUAGAAUUGUCAAAAUCUUGGUUUAAGGGUUUUAAUAGCCAGAUGAGAAAGCAACCUACUUUUCUUGAACAACUUGUUUGUGACUGUCUUGUUGCUCCCAUCUUGCAUCUAUGAUUAGCAAAAUAUAUGAUAAAUAGAUAUUCAGAUUUGAUCGAAAAGAAGGAAGAUUUUCUUUAAUCCAUUUAAUUUGAAUCUCACAAAAAAAAAGUAGAAGAUUUGGACACGAUCGCUGGGGGCAGCACGCUCUUAAUAGAAUGGUGUCACGUUGCAGAUCUCGAAAAAUUAUUCAAUUUUUUUUAAAAAAAAAGAGUCAUUGAAAUUAGACGUUGUAUGACCAUGUUAUGAUCUCUGAAAGUUUGACUUCUGACUCAACUUCCCAAUGUAGCAGAUUUUACUCCUGAACCAUGUUUAACCUCCUGACUCAUAGUGGCCAAAGUAUCUACAUCGAGUUCACUGGUCUUCUUGGAUCACAUUCAUAAGAAUACUUCCCAUAAUUUUGCUCAACGUUGUUUUUCUCAUCAACCAAAGGUAUAUGCUUUUUAAAAUUGAAAUGCCCAUGAAUAUUAUGGCAUUCUUUUAUUUGACAUUUUGGUUGAUCCUAUAUUGUUUGUUUGGCAUUCAACACUUCUUCAUGGGAACCUUUGAAAUGAGGUAGGUGCUAGGAUUUUUCUUUUUACCUAUCCAUAUCAUAUUUCCAAUGUCUUCUUUUACAUUAGGUUCUUUAGUGACAAUAGGGGAAACGACCCAAUAUAAUACCCUUGAAAAUUUGGGCAAUAUCUACUAAAACUAACUUGAAUAAAAUAUUAACAUAAAAAGGGAUUUAGUAACAUAAAAGCAUAACUCAAAAUCACUCACCUUGUGUGCCACGUUCUCAUUGCCCUUAUUAUUUUUGCAUUGUGAAUUGUGUCCCCCAAUAAAGCAACGUGAAUGGUGGAAGAGAGUUGAAUGGCUUUGUUGAGUAAUUGUUUUGAGUUACUAUAGCAUUGCUCUACUAAAAUUGAAAUCUUGCUGUGAGGCUAUGUAUGAGAAGCAAGUUCAUGCUUUUUGACUGUUGGGAUGGAAGUAUGAGCAAUCUUUUUAAUAGAAAAUGGACGAAUCAUGAAGUUUUUCCUUUUUAUUGAAAAAGAUGAUCGAAAAAUAUGUGCAAGAUAGAAAAACACUGAAAAGAUAAAAUGAGAAGUAAAAGUGGAAGUCUAGGAGAAGAAAAUUUAAGAGAAAUAUCUUCAAUGAGAGGAUGUGUGCACCAACAAAGCCAACUUUCACUAAAGAAUGUAAUGACUCACCUCUACUUUCUUCGAAUAAGGGGUUCCCAGUUGUGGAAAGUAUAUAGAAUCUUCUGAAAGACUGAGUAAAUGGAGCAAUUCCUUCUAAGAAAUAUUAUGGCAUUUCUCUCCCACGAAAUUUCAAAGCAAAGAGCAGCUAGUAGUUGAUCCUCUAAUCUCUUAAUUGAAGUUUGGAAUUUCUCUUGCCUCUAUUUGGCCCAAAGGUCAUGAAGAUCUACCGGCCAACCUCUUAAGUUGAAUUAGAUCUUAAUAGAAGUCCAAAUGCUUCUUGUAGAAGAACAUCUAAUAAAUAAAUGAGUGAUAGAUUCUAAUCCAGAGACAAAGAGCACACCUCGAAUUCACUUGCCAUCCUUUUCUAGCUAGAACUUCUCUAGCAUGAAACUUGUUCCUUAAGGCAAGCCAAAUAAAUACUCACAUUUUAGGAAUGACUGCCUUCCAAAUAAUUUUAUAAUAUGGACAAAUUAGACCACCAUUAUUGAUAAACUUGCAAUGAACAAUUAUAAAUGAGUUUUCAGGUUGGCACAUUAGCAAUAUAGGAUGGUUUGAUUAUUAAAAGGAUGAUAUGAAGGGUUUCAAGGUGGUUUGCCUCGUUCAAAUCAAAGGAUUUUGAAGAUUAAUAUUCCAAGAUAAGGUUCUCCAACUCCAUUAGGAAAGUGUCUUCAUGUCAUCUUAGAGAAGCAGCUCGUACCAAACUUGACAGAUGUUUUAUUUAUUUAGAGUGACACAGAUACCCUUUGGCAAUACUCUCCAUCCUUGUCCGAACAACUUCUAAUCACACCUCACUUAUCUUGCAUCUAACUCAGAGGCUACAAGUUACACCUUUCAACAAACCUUUUCGGUUUGAAAAUUUGUGAUUUCAUUAUUUAGAGUUCGAAGAGCAUAUCAAGUAUUGGUCGGAGUUGGCACCCAAAGCAAACGAAACAGUUACUGACAUGGUCCAAAAGCUGAGAUUUCUAAGAUCCCAACUUAAGCACUGAAUAAAGCCAUUAUGGGAAAUAUCAUUUUAACGAAAGAGGAAUUUAGAGUAAGAAUUGAUUCUCUUGAUACCGAAGAAGAACUAAUACAGCUUUCAUCACUUCAAAAUGAUGAACAGAUGCAUCUCAAGUCAGCACUAGACCAUCUUCUAAAAUAGGAAGAUCUAUGGAAGCAACACUCCCAAAUGCAGUGGCUUCAAAAUGGGGAUUGCAAUACGAAGUUUAUCCAUGUUUGGGCAAGUAACAGGAAAAAAAGAAUACUAUCACUGAACUCUAGCAAGGCGAUCAGAAGAUUAUCGAAUAGCAGCAAAUCCAAUCCACAUUCUACAACUUUUUUUCUACCCUACUAGGCUCGACUGAGGAAUGACUCAUCCAAGCUGAUU